rnacentral:rRNA from 1 species
ACGGGUGAGUAACGCGUGGGAAUCUACCCAUCUCUACGGAACAACUCCGGGAAACUGGAGCUAAUACCGUAUACGUCCUUCGGGAGAAAGAUUUAUCGGAGAUGGAUGAGCCCGCGUUGGAUUAGCUAGUUGGUGGGGUAAAGGCCUACCAAGGCGACGAUCCAUAGCUGGUCUGAGAGGAUGAUCAGCCACACUGGGACUGAGACACGGCCCAGACUCCUACGGGAGGCAGCAGUGGGGAAUAUUGGACAAUGGGCGAAAGCCUGAUCCAGCCAUGCCGCGUGAGUGAUGAAGGCCCUAGGGUUGUAAAGCUCUUUCAACGGUGAAGAUAAUGACGGUAACCGUAGAAGAAGCCCCGGCUAACUUCGUGCCAGCAGCCGCGGUAAUACGAAGGGGGCUAGCGUUGUUCGGAAUUACUGGGCGUAAAGCGCACGUAGGCGGAUACUUAAGUUAGGGGUGAAAUCCCAGAGCUCAACUCUGGAACUGCCUUUAAUACUGGGUAUCUCGAGUCCGGAAGAGGUGAGUGGAAUUCCGAGUGUAGAGGUGAAAUUCGUAGA